AUGGAUGUAGCUUAGUGGCAGAGCACUUGCCUAACAUGUAUGAGAUCCUGGGUUCAAUCCCUAGUACCAAAA
rnacentral:tRNA from 1 species